rnacentral:rRNA from 1 species
GAUAUAAAUUGAAGCGAAUGAAGCCGACGUUUCCAGUGCGUAUUCAGCCGUUGGCGGGUGCGAUUUGCUCGCUUUGCAGUUCUGCAAAGUCUGCGGCGGGCAUUGUUGCGCUCGUUGUCGGUGCAUUUGCGCACAGAGUGCGCCGAAUCGGCUGGACUCGUUGUUUGAGGGGCGCGUAGAGGACCUCUCCUCGGAGUGGAAACCUGUGCGUUCGGAGAACAAAUGCGUCUAGCCGCCAGUGCAGGGCCGGUAUCUCGCGGCGUCGUUGUCCAGCUAUUGCCUCACGGGUGGAGCACAUGUGUUGUGCUCGUGCGGUGGUGGUUGGGCAGCGGCGUUGAUCGGCCCGCAAUUCGGUGUUCAGUCGGUCACCCCUUCGACCCGUCUUGAAACACGGACCAAGGAGUUUAAGGUGUACGCAAGUCAUUGGGUGCGGAAAGCUCAAAGGCGGAAUGAAAGUGGGACACUUAGUGUCUGUGAUGCGACCCGGCGUCGACUCGUUGGCGUCGGGGCAGCAUCGACCCAUGGCUAGAACUUGUUCUGUUGUGGAGUCCGAGCGUACGCUCUGAGACCCGAAAGAUGGUGAACUAUGCCCGAACAGGACGAAGUCAGAGGAAACUCUGAUGGAAGUCCGAAGCGGUUCUGACGUGCAAAUCGA